rfam:Trichobilharzia regenti genome assembly, scaffold: TRE_scaffold0003424
AUCCAGAUGACGAGUCCUAAAUAGGACGAAAUGCGCAUCCACCAAUUGAAU